rnacentral:rRNA from 1 species
AGAGUUUGAUCCUGGCUCAGGACGAACGCUGGCGGUGCGCCUUAUGCAUGCAAGUCGAGCGAAGCUUUUCAGUAGUUUACUACAGAAAAUGACUGAGCGGCGAACGGGUGAGUAACGCGUGAGCAACCUACCUUAGUUACUGGGAUAGCCCGAGGAAACUCGGAUUAAUACCGGAUAUUCUUAUUUAAUCACAUGAUUUUUUAAGGAAAGGUCAGCCGAACUAAGAUGGGCUCGCGUUCUAUCAGCUAGUUGGUAGGGUAAUGGCCUACCAAGGCUACGACGGAUAGCUGGUCUGAGAGGACGAUCAGCCACACUGGGACUGAGACACGGCCCAGACUCCUACGGGAGGCUGCAGCAGGGAAUAUUGCGCAAUGAGCGAAAGCUUGACGCAGCGACACCGCGUGUGGGAUGACGGAUCUAGGUUUGUAAACCACUUUCAGGAGGGAAGAAAAUGACGGUACCUCCACAAGAAGCCCCGGCCAACUACGUGCCAGCAGCCGCGGUAAUACGGAGGGGGUUAGCGUUGUUCGGAAUUACUGGGCGUAAAGCGCACGUAGGCGGACUGGAAAGUUAGAGGUGAAAUCCCGGGGCUCAACCCCGGAACUGCCUUUAAAACUAUCAGUCUAGAGUUCGAGAGAGGUGAGUGGAAUUCCGAGUGUAGAGGUGAAAUUCGUAGAUAUUCGGAGGAACACCAGUGGCGAAGGCGGCUCACUGGCUCGAUACUGACGCUGAGGUGCGAAAGUGUGGGGAGCAAACAGGAUUAGAUACCCUGGUAGUCCACACCGUAAACGCUGUCUACUAGCUGUUUGUGACUUUAAGUCGUGAGUAGCGAAGCUAACGCGCUAAGUAGACCGCCUGGGGAGUACGGCCGCAAGGUUAAAACUCAAAUGAAUUGACGGGGGCCCGCACAAGCGGUGGAGCAUGUGGUUUAAUUCGAUGCAACGCGAAGAACCUUACCUACACUUGACAUGCAGAGAACUUUCUAGAGAUAGAUUGGUGCCUUCGGGAACUCUGACACAGGUGCUGCAUGGCUGUCGUCAGCUCGUG